GAGGGUUUAGCUCAGUGGUAGAGUGCAUGUUUAGCAUGCACAAGGUCCUGGGUUCAAUCCCCAGAACCUCCA
rnacentral:tRNA from 1 species